rnacentral:misc_RNA from 1 species
UGAAAUGCGAUAAUUAAUGUGAAUUGCAUUAUCUCGUGAAUCAUCAAGUUUUUGAACGCAUCUUGCACUUUUUCCUUAAAGAAAAAGUAUACUUGUUUGAGUAUUAAUAAAUAACAUAAUUAUUAUUAUGAAUUGAAAGUUUAUUCUCCUUAAAGAGAGUAAUCUUUUUAAAAAUUUUACUGUAUUUUGAAAUACUGAUUAAAUAAUCAUAGUAUUUCAAACCACAAAAUUCUAAGAAUUAAGUAAAAAUUUAAUCUCAAAUCAAGUAAGAUUACCCGCUGGACUUAA